GCGGGAGUAAUUCAGUGGUAGAAUGCUUCCUUGCCAAGGAAGAUGUCGCGAGUUCGAGCCUCGUCUCCCGCUCCA
rnacentral:tRNA from 5 species